rnacentral:tRNA from 2 species
CCGACCAUAGCUCAGUUGGUAGAGCGGAGGACUGUAGUGGCGACAGUAAUCCUUAGGUCACUGGUUCGAAUCCGGUUGGUCGGA